rnacentral:rRNA from 1 species
AGAGUUUGAUCAUGGCUCAGGACGAACGCUGGCGGCGUGCUUAACACAUGCAAGUCGAACGGAAAGGCCCUUCGGGGUACUCGAGUGGCGAACGGGUGAGUAACACGUGGGUGAUCUGCCCUGCACUUUGGGAUAAGCCUGGGAAACUGGGUCUAAUACCGAAUAGGACCACGCGCCUCAUGGUGUGUGGUGGAAAGCUUUUGCGGUGUGGGAUGGGCCCGCGGCCUAUCAGCUUGUUGGUGGGGUAAUGGCCUACCAAGGCGACGACGGGUAGCCGGCCUGAGAGGGUGACCGGCCACACUGGGACUGAGAUACGGCCCAGACUCCUACGGGAGGCAGCAGUGGGGAAUAUUGCACAAUGGGCGCAAGCCUGAUGCAGCGACGCCGCGUGAGGGAUGACGGCCUUCGGGUUGUAAACCUCUUUCAAUAGGGACGAAGCGCAAGUGACGGUACCUAUAGAAGAAGCACCGGCCAACUACGUGCCAGCAGCCGCGGUAAUACGUAGGGUGCGAGCGUUGUCCGGAAUUACUGGGCGUAAAGAGCUCGUAGGUGGUUUGUCGCGUUGUUCGUGAAAACUCACAGCUUAACUGUGGGCGUGCGGGCGAUACGGGCAGACUAGAGUACUGCAGGGGAGACUGGAAUUCCUGGUGUAGCGGUGGAAUGCGCAGAUAUCAGGAGGAACACCGGUGGCGAAGGCGGGUCUCUGGGCAGUAACUGACGCUGAGGAGCGAAAGCGUGGGGAGCGAACAGGAUUAGAUACCCUGGUAGUCCAA